rnacentral:rRNA from 1 species
CACGUAGGGCGCAAGCGUUGUCCGGAAUUAUUGGGCGUAAAGAGCUCGUAGGCGGUCUGUUGCGUCCGCUGUGAAAACUCGGGGCUUAACCCCGAGCCUGCAGUGGAUACGGGCAGACUAGAGGUAGGUAGGGGAGAAUGGAAUUCCCGGUGUAGCGGUGAAAUGCGCAGAUAUCAGGAGGAACACCGGUGGCGAAGGCGGAUCUCUGGGCCUUACCUGACGCUCAGGCGCGAAAGCUAGGGGAGCGAACAGG